rnacentral:rRNA from 1 species
UACGGGGGGGGCUAGCGUUGUUCGGAAUUACUGGGCGUAAAGGGCGCGUAGGCGGCCUACUAAGUCGGACGUGAAAUCCCUCGGCUCAACCGGGGAACUGCGUCCGAUACUGGUGGGCUCGAAUCCGGGAGAGGGAUGUGGAAUUCCAGGUGUAGCGGUGAAAUGCGUAGAUAUCUGGAGGAACACCGGUGGCGAAGGCGGCAUCCUGGACCGGUAUUGACGCUGAGGAGCGAAAGCUAGGGGAGCAAACGGG